CCUACGGGUGGCUGCAGUGGGGAAUAUUGGACAAUGGGGGCAACCCUGAUCCAGCCAUGCCGCGUGUGUGAAGAAGGCCCUCGGGUUGUAAAGCACUUUCAGUGAGGAAGAACGCCUGGUGGUUAAUACCCAUCAGGAAAGACAUCACUCACAGAAGAAGCACCGGCUAACUCCGUGCCAGCAGCCGCGGUAAUACGGAGGGUGCGAGCGUUAAUCGGACUUACUGGGCGUAAAGCGCGCGUAGGUGGCUUGAUAAGCCGGUUGUGAAAGCCCCGGGCUCAACCUGGGAACGGCAUCCGGAACUGUCAAGCUAGAGUGCAGGAGAGGAAGGUAGAAUUCCCGGUGUAGCGGUGAAAUGCGUAGAGAUCGGGAGGAAUACCAGUGGCGAAGGCGGCCUUCUGGACUGACACUGACACUGAGGUGCGAAAGCGUGGGUAGCGAACAGGAUUAGAUACCCCGGUAGUC
rnacentral:rRNA from 1 species